AGAUAUCUAGAGUGCGCCCCUGAGACAGUUUUUUGUCCCUUUGCAUUUGGAAAUAGAGAGGGCGUAAGUCCGAGCUGAAACCCGCUUUUCAAAACUCAAUUGUUCUUGACCACAGUGGUCAGUUUCUACAAAUAACCGGCCCUUAAUCGACUACUUGAGGGACUUCUGGAAGCCUCCCAACUCUGGAAGGUUCUCAGUCAGAUAAAAAGGAAUGUUGUAUUCAGACUGAUGCCAUGAAUCUCAAGAGGCACUUCACCAAAAUGACAGUGGGCUAAUUAUUCCAGUGAGCUGGUAACCGACUGUUUUAAAUUUUAGCUCCUUUAAAAAAAAAUGCAAUGGGCUUGCUGUAGCUGGUCUGGCAAAAAAAAACUAUAUUUGCUGCUGCAGGGACUUCAGUAAAGACAUGAAUUAUGAAGACCAAGAUGAACAAAGGGACUGUUGUGUCGAUUUUGUUGCUGAAUGGUUUGCGAUAAUUAAUACACCCAACACUCACCAACAAAUGGGAACUGCUUCUUUAAUGUUCUUCUGAUGUGUAGUAAAUUGGUUGAGAUGCAUCUACUUCAAAGAUGUCCCAUAAUUGUAGUUCUAUAGUAUGCUUGCUAUAUUGUAUGUGGAGAGCAUGGAAGGGAUUGAUAUGUGUUUUUAAUGACUUGCGUUGAGUGUGGCAGUCAGCAGAGAGGCUUAUCAAUUCUAUGAGGCAGGCAUAUCUGUUGUAAUUAUUUUUACACCAGUAGAGACACAUUUCAUCUAUACAGCAUGCUUUUGUUUGGUGCUUUACAUUUGGAAACAGAUUUAGGUAUUAAGUGUCUAAUGUCUGGGCCAGGGAAUCCUUUUCAGAAUUAGUAAUACUGACCAG